rnacentral:rRNA from 1 species
GGGUUGUGAGGUUAAGCGACUAAGCGUACACGGUGGAUGCCCUGGCAGUCAGAGGCGAUGAAGGACGUGCUAAUCUGCGAUAAGCGUCGGUAAGGUGAUAUGAACCGUUAUAACCGGCGAUUUCCGAAUGGGGAAACCCAGUGUGAUUCGUCACACUAUCAUUAACUGAAUCCAUAGGUUAAUGAGGCGAACCGGGGGAACUGAAACAUCUAAGUACCCCGAGGAAAAGAAAUCAACCGAGAUUCCCCCAGUAGCGGCGAGCGAACGGGGAGCAGCCCAGAGCCUGAAUCAGUGUGUGUGUUAGUGGAAGCGUCUGGAAAGGCGCGCGAUACAGGGUGACAGCCCCGUACACAAAAAUGCACAUACUGUGAGCUCGAUGAGUAGGGCGGGACACGUGGUAUCCUGUCUGAAUAUGGGGGGACCAUCCUCCAAGGCUAAAUACUCCUGACUGACCGAUAGUGAACCAGUACCGUGAGGGAAAGGCGAAAAGAACCCCGGCGAGGGGAGUGAAAAAGAACCUGAAACCGUGUACGUACAAGCAGUGGGAGCACGCUUAGGCGUGUGACUGCGUACCUUUUGUAUAAUGGGUCAGCGACUUAUAUUCUGUAGCAAGGUUAACCGAAUAGGGGAGCCGAAGGGAAACCGAGUCUUAACUGGGCGUUAAGUUGCAGGGUAUAGACCCGAAACCCGGUGAUCUAGCCAUGGGCAGGUUGAAGGUUGGGUAACACUAACUGGAGGACCGAACCGACUAAUGUUGAAAAAUUAGCGGAUGACUUGUGGCUGGGGGUGAAAGGCCAAUCAAACCGGGAGAUAGCUGGUUCUCCCCGAAAGCUAUUUAGGUAGCGCCUCGUGAAUUCAUCUCCGGGGGUAGAGCACUGUUUCGGCAAGGGGGUCAUCCCGACUUACCAACCCGAUGCAAACUGCGAAUACCGGAGAAUGUUAUCACGGGAGACACACGGCGGGUGCUAACGUCCGUCGUGAAGAGGGAAACAACCCAGACCGCCAGCUAAGGUCCCAAAGUCAUGGUUAAGUGGGAAACGAUGUGGGAAGGCCCAGACAGCCAGGAUGUUGGCUUAGAAGCAGCCAUCAUUUAAAGAAAGCGUAAUAGCUCACUGGUCGAGUCGGCCUGCGCGGAAGAUGUAACGGGGCUAAACCAUGCACCGAAGCUGCGGCAGCGACACUGUGUGUUGUUGGGUAGGGGAGCGUUCUGUAAGCCUGCGAAGGUGUGCUGUGAGGCAUGCUGGAGGUAUCAGAAGUGCGAAUGCUGACAUAAGUAACGAUAAAGCGGGUGAAAAGCCCGCUCGCCGGAAGACCAAGGGUUCCUGUCCAACGUUAAUCGGGGCAGGGUGAGUCGACCCCUAAGGCGAGGCCGAAAGGCGUAGUCGAUGGGAAACAGGUUAAUAUUCCUGUACUUGGUGUUACUGCGAAGGGGGGACGGAGAAGGCUAUGUUGGCCGGGCGACGGUUGUCCCGGUUUAAGCGUGUAGGCUGGUUUUCCAGGCAAAUCCGGAAAAUCAAGGCUGAGGCGUGAUGACGAGGCACUACGGUGCUGAAGCAACAAAUGCCCUGCUUCCAGGAAAAGCCUCUAAGCAUCAGGUAACAUCAAAUCGUACCCCAAACCGACACAGGUGGUCAGGUAGAGAAUACCAAGGCGCUUGAGAGAACUCGGGUGAAGGAACUAGGCAAAAUGGUGCCGUAACUUCGGGAGAAGGCACGCUGAUAUGUAGGUGAAGUCCCUCGCGGAUGGAGCUGAAAUCAGUCGAAGAUACCAGCUGGCUGCAACUGUUUAUUAAAAACACAGCACUGUGCAAACACGAAAGUGGACGUAUACGGUGUGACGCCUGCCCGGUGCCGGAAGGUUAAUUGAUGGGGUCAGCGCAAGCGAAGCUCUUGAUCGAAGCCCCGGUAAACGGCGGCCGUAACUAUAACGGUCCUAAGGUAGCGAAAUUCCUUGUCGGGUAAGUUCCGACCUGCACGAAUGGCGUAAUGAUGGCCAGGCUGUCUCCACCCGAGACUCAGUGAAAUUGAACUCGCUGUGAAGAUGCAGUGUACCCGCGGCAAGACGGAAAGACCCCGUGAACCUUUACUAUAGCUUGACACUGAACAUUGAGCCUUGAUGUGUAGGAUAGGUGGGAGGCUUUGAAGUGUGGACGCCAGUCUGCAUGGAGCCGGCCUUGAAAUACCACCCUUUAAUGUUUGAUGUUCUAACGUUGACCCGUGAUCCGGGUUGCGGACAGUGUCUGGUGGGUAGUUUGACUGGGGCGGUCUCCUCCUAAAGAGUAACGGAGGAGCACGAAGGUUGGCUAAUCCUGGUCGGACAUCAGGAGGUUAGUGCAAUGGCAUAAGCCAGCUUGACUGCGAGCGUGACGGCGCGAGCAGGUGCGAAAGCAGGUCAUAGUGAUCCGGUGGUUCUGAAUGGAAGGGCCAUCGCUCAACGGAUAAAAGGUACUCCGGGGAUAACAGGCUGAUACCGCCCAAGAGUUCAUAUCGACGGCGGUGUUUGGCACCUCGAUGUCGGCUCAUCACAUCCUGGGGCUGAAGUAGGUCCCAAGGGUAUGGCUGUUCGCCAUUUAAAGUGGUACGCGAGCUGGGUUUAGAACGUCGUGAGACAGUUCGGUCCCUAUCUGCCGUGGGCGCUGGAGAACUGAGGGGGGCUGCUCCUAGUACGAGAGGACCGGAGUGGACGCAUCACUGGUGUUCGGGUUGUCAUGCCAAUGGCACUGCCCGGUAGCUAAAUGCGGAAGAGAUAAGUGCUGAAAGCAUCUAAGCACGAAACUUGCCCCGAGAUGAGUUCUCCCUGACUCCUUGAGAGUCCUGAAGGAACGUUGAAGACGACGACGUUGAUAGGCCGGGUGUGUAAGCGCAGCGAUGCGUUGAGCUAACCGGUACUAAUGAACCGUGAGGCUUAACCUUACAACGCCGAAGCUGUU